rnacentral:rRNA from 11 species
CCCUAAGGCUAAAAUACUCUACAUGUACCAGACCCUGUCUGCUCUUGGAAGCUAAACAAGGUCAGCCCCGGUUGCCAUUUGGAUGGGAUAUUGCCAAAGACUACCAGGGGCUGUAUGCU